UCCCCCCUCCCCCUCACCCCUUCGAAAUAGAAAGAGGUUGCAGGGACAAACGAACGAGGAAAGAAUAAAGUGGAGAGAAUUUCAGCGUUGGUCAGACGACGAUCUCCUUAGCAUGAUUGUUAUCAGUGAUGUAUUGUUAGCUUGCGAGGCAUGCCAACGAACCAAAGAUUAAAGGGGGUUCCGGCACAGAAGAGAGAAUUCCGCCAUACGGAGGAGGGAGAAACUGGUUUAUCAACUAUCCAGCUGCUCAAUGGAAUCGGUUUUCUGGCCAGAGGUUGCGGAGGAUGCUGCAGAGGGUCGUUUCUGUCGACCUUCGGACUGCGGGGAGGAGGCGAGCUGUGUCAGCUUGUCGUCCUUUAUCCGACUCUCCCGACCCAGCCUGCAGUUUCUCUCGGUGUUCGGAGGGGAGAGUAAAAAAAAAAAAAAGAAAAAAAGGAAGCAGAAGAAAAAGAAAAAUGCGGAGCGGGAGAAACGAACGCUGAAAACGGGAGGAAAAGCGGUUUUUCGUGAGAAAUUAUGAAAACACUCACGCCACAAAGAACCCCCACGGAGGCCAUUCUUCGUCGACACCUCGGGACUGUAUAUUCUUCGCUUUCGGAACUCGAUACGCCUUUUUCUAUUCACCGCCUGUUCCACCUCGUUUUCAUCCAUUUGUUACACGGAGAAUGCCGAGGCAAGUUCCACUGUACCGAAUAGCGAAUAGUCGAUAUUGAAAGCUAUAUAUAGAUAGGCUCAGGGCUUCUUAUUUUUCUGGUAAUACCGCCGCUGGAUUUUCCCCUCACCGAAACAAGGGAGACAAUCGUAGUUCCGCAAAUACCGAGCUUUCGAUACCAAUAUCUCAAGAAUUCAAACAGAUCGAACACCCGUCAUAUUGUUGCAGAAAUAUUUUAUGCAAGGGCCAAAAUUGUCAUCAGCUGGUUUCUCCGUAGGAUUAUUAUUCGGCGUUACACGGGGAUGCCGAGGUCGGAAAUUUUCGCGAGAGUCGGAUGGAGAUAAACGUGGCAGACGUUGAACGUCGG
rnacentral:lncRNA from 1 species